rnacentral:lncRNA from 1 species
ACAAUUACUAAAGACAAUGUUGCACUUCCAGCCAAUGCAGCUAUGUGGCGAAGAACUGCUAGUAGAAGACUACCUACUACAUGCAGAGAAUUUUGUUUCCUGGCUCAUAGUUUUGGAUGAAGCUAUGGUGUUUGGAAUGAGCUAGACAGAAUCACCCACUCCAAGGUUACCUGCUGUUCAUUCUACCAUAG